AUUGAACGCUGGCGGCAGGCUUAACACAUGCAAGUCGAGCGGGGUGAUGGUGCUUGCACUAUCACUUAGCGGCGGACGGGUGAGUAAUGCUGAGGAAUCUGCCUAUUAGUGGGGGACAACAUCUCGAAAGGGAUGCUAAUACCGCAUACGUCCUACGGGAGAAAGCAGGGGAUCACUUGUGACCUUGCGCUAAUAGAUGAGCCGAAGUCGGGUUAGCUAGUUGGUGGGGUAGAGGCCUACCAAGGCGACGAUCUGUAGCGGGUCUGAGAGGAUGAUCCGCCACACUGGGACUGAGACACGGGCCAGACUCCUACGGGAGGCAGCAGUGGGGAAUAUUGGACAAUGGGGGGAACCCUGAUCCAGCCAUGCCGCGUGUGUGAAGAAGGCCUUAUGGUUGUAAAGCACUUUAAGCGAGGAGGAGGCUCUUUUGGUUAAUACCCAAGAUGAGUGGACGUUACUCGCAGAAUAAGCACCGGCUAACUCUGUGCCAGCCGCCGCCGUAA
rnacentral:rRNA from 1 species